GACGAACGCUGGCGGCGUGCUUAACACAUGCAAGUCGAGCGGUAAGGCCCUUUCGGGGGUACGACGAGCGGCGAACGGGUGAGUAACACGUGGGUGACCUGCCCUCAGCUCUGGGAUAAGCCUGGGAAACCGGGUCUAAUACCGGAUAUGACUCCAUGACGCAUGUUGUGGGGUGGAAAGCCUUGUGCGGCUGAGGAUGGGCCCGGCGGCCUAUCAGCUUGUUGGUGGGGUGAUGGCCUACCAAGGCGACGACGGGUAGCCGGCCUGAGAGGCGACCGGCCACACUGGGACUGAGACACGGCCCAGACUCCUACGGGAGGCAGCAGUGGGGAAUCUUGCGCAAUGGGCGAAAGCCUGACGCAGCGACGCCGCGUGAGGGAUGACGGCCUGGUGUAAC
rnacentral:rRNA from 1 species